rnacentral:rRNA from 1 species
GGGGACAGGAUGACAGGUGGUGCAUGGUUGUCGUCAGCUCGUGUCGUGAGAUGUUGGGUUAAGUCCCGCAACGAGCGCAACCCUUGAUCUUAGUUGCCAGCAUUUAGUUGGGCACUCUAAGGUGACUGCCGGUGACAAACCGGAGGAAGGUGGGGAUGACGUCAAAUCAUCAUGCCCCUUAUGACCUGGGCUACACACGUGCUACAAUGGAUGGUACAAAGGGCAGCAAAACCGCGAGGUCGAGCCAAUCCCAUAAAACCAUUCUCAGUUCGGAUUGUAGGCUGCAACUCGCCUACAUGAAGCUGGAAUCGCUAGUAAUCGCGGAUCAGCAUGCCGCGGUGAAUACGUUCCCGGGCCUUGUACACACCGCCCGUCAAAC